rnacentral:rRNA from 1 species
GGAUGAACGCUGGCGGUGUGCCUAAAACAUGCAAGUCGAACGGGGUCCUUCGGGAUUCAGUGGCGAACGGCGGAGUAAUACAUGAACAACGUGCCCUUAAGCCUGGGAUAUACAGGGGAAACCCUGGGCAAUACCAGAUGUGGCGACGACCUGGCAUCAGGUUUUCGUUAAACGGUUUUUCGCUUUUGGAGCGGUUCAUGGCCUAUCAGGUAGUUGGUGAGGUAACGGCUCACCAAGCCGACGACGGGUAGCGGGUCUGAGAGGAUGGUCCGCUCGAGUGGGACUGAGACACGGCCCACACACCUACGGGUGGCAGCAGUUGGGAAUCUUGCACAAUGGGGGAAACCCUGAUGCAGCGACACCGCGUGGAGGAUGAAGGUUUUCGGAUUGUAAACUCCUUUUUUCAGGAAAGACUUAGGACGGUACCUGAAGAAUAAGCACCGGCUAACUACGUGCCAGCAGCCGCGGUAAGACGUAGGGUGCAAGCGUUAUCCGGAUUUACUGGGCGUAAAGAGCGCGUAGGCGGAUCGUUAAGUGUAGAGUGAAAUCUCCAGGGCUCAACCCGGAAACUGCUCUGCAUACUGGCGAUCUUGAGGGGCACAGAGGCAACUGGAAUUCCUGGUGAAGCGGUGAAAUGCGUAGAUAUCAGGAGGAACUCCCAUGGCGAAGGCAGGUUGCUGGGUGCCAUCUGACGCUGAGGCGCGAAAGCGUGGGUAGCAAACAGGAUUAGAUACCCUGGUAGUCCACGCCCUAAACUAUGGAUACUAGACGUAGGAGGUAUAGACCCCUUCUGUGUCGCAGCUAACG